rnacentral:lncRNA from 1 species
GGCUGUUUUACAGUUUUAAACGUAGCAUGAGGUUCGAUGUUUUCAUUUUAUAGUUUCGUGUGCAUGUUUUACUGUUUUAUUGAUUAUGGAUUAAAUGACCGGAAUAUUGAUGCUGUAUGUUGUCUGUUUAGCAUAAGUUAUCGUUUUGCUUGCUUGUAUGUGGAUUAAUGAUGCUGAUUGAGGAAAAAGAGAACGAACAAUUAUGUAAAUGGAUAAUGGAAUAAUGUGAUCAGCCUGACUAGAUAUCCUGAGAGAUGGUGGACGGACCGGGUCCGUAGGGGACCCUACCGGGAUUGUGGUCUCCCAUACCGGACGGGGUAUGGAGAUCUUAUGUGUUUU